rnacentral:rRNA from 1 species
GUGUCAGCAGCCGCGGUAAUACGGGAGUGGCAAGCGUUAUCCGGAAUUAUUGGGCGUAAAGCGUCCGCAGGCGGCCUUUUAAGUCUGUCGUCAAAGCGUGGAGCUUAACUCCAUUUAAGCGAUGGAAACUGGAAGGCUAGAGUGUGGUAGGGGCAGAGGGAAUUCCCGGUGUAGCGGUGAAAUGCGUAGAUAUCGGGAAGAACACCAGUGGCGAAGGCGCUCUGCUGGGCCAUAACUGACGCUCAUGGACGAAAGCCAGGGGAGCGAAAGGGAUUAGAUACCCGCGUAGUCC